CUUGGGAGAAAAUUAGAAAAUCUUAGUAUGCCUGUAAAUACACAGUGUUGUGCUGCCACGGAUGGCAGCGCAAGUCUUAACGUGCCAUGGAGGGCACGUUUAAGACGUACACGUCACUUUGAAAGAGCAUAAAGCAGGCAUACUUAGUUUUUCUUAUUUUCGGACAAU
ncrna:Roseburia intestinalis L1-82 TwoGGAY RNA